AUUGAACGCUGGCGGCGUGCUUAACACAUGCAAGUCGAUCGGUAACAGGUGUAGCAAUACAUGCUGACGAGAGGCGGACGGGUGAGUAAUGCUUGGGAAUCUGCCUAUUAGUGGGGGACAACCCGGGGAAACUCGGGCUAAUACCGCAUACGCUCUACGGAGGAAAGCCGGGGACCGCAAGGCCUGGCGCUAAUAGAUGAGCCCAAGUCGGAUUAGCUAGUUGGUAGGGUAACGGCCUACCAAGGCGACAAUCCGUAGCUGGUCUGAGAGGACGACCAGCCACACCGGAACUGAGACACGGUCCGGACUCCUACGGGAGGCAGCAGUGGGGAAUAUUGGACAAUGGGGGCAACCCUGAUCCAGCGACGCCGCGUGGGUGAAGAAGGCCUGCGGGUUGUAAAGCCCUUUCGGGUGGGGAAGAAAAGUCUCGACCUAAUACGUCGGGACCUUGACGUAACCCACUAAAGAAGCACCGGCUAACUCUGUGCCAGCCGCCGCGGUAA
rnacentral:rRNA from 1 species